rnacentral:sRNA from 1 species
CUGUUGCUGUCUGACUUUACAGCCAUGUAAAGAUCCAGUGGUAACGGAAGAUGGUCACCUGUAUGACAAGGAGGCUAUUCUCAAAAACAUAUUGCAUCAGAAAAAGGAAAUUGCCAGAAAACUAAAGGAAUAUGAAAAACAAAAAUUAAGAUCACAG